rnacentral:rRNA from 1 species
AGAGUUUGAUCCUGGCUCAGGAUAAACGCUGGCGGCGUGCCUAAUACAUGCAAGUCGAUCGAUAGAAGUCCAGCUUGCUGGACGGAAAUAGAGGCGAACGGGUGAGUAAUACGUAAGCAACCUGCCCACGAAGACUGGGAUAAUCCCUGGAAACGGGGACUAAGACCGGAUAGGUACACAGACCGCAUGAUCUGUGUAUUAAAGGAGAGAGACACUGGUGGAUGGGCUUACGGUGCAUUAGCUGGAUGGUGAGGUAACGGCCCACCAUGGCGAUGAUGCAUAGCCGGGCUGAGAGGCUGAACGGCCACAUUGGGACUGAGACACGGCCCAGACUCCUACGGGAGGCAGCAGUAGGGAAUUUUCGGCAAUGGGGGCAACCCUGACCGAGCAACGCCGCGUGAGUGAUGAAGGUCUUCGGAUUGUAAAGCUCUGUUGUAAGGGAAGAACGGCAUCUAGAGAAUAGGUGAGUGACGGUACCUUACCAGAAAGCUACGGCUAACUACGUGCCAGCAGCCGCGGUAAUACGUAGGUAGCGAGCGUUAUCCGGAAUUAUUGGGCGUAAAGGGUGCGUAGGCGGCCUGUUAAGUUUAUGGUGAAAGCGUGGGGCUCAACCCCAUAAAGCCAUAGAUACUGGCAGGCUAGAGUACUGGAGAGGGUAGUGGAAUUCCAUGUGUAGCGGUAAAAUGCGUAGAUAUAUGGAGGAACACCGGUGGCGAAGGCGGCUACCUAGACAGAGACUGACGCUGAGGCACGAAAGCGUGGGGAGCAAAUAGGAUUAGAUACCCUAGUAGUCCACGCUGUAAACGAUGAAUGCUAGGUAUCGGGGCGACCCGGUGCCGAAACUAACGCGAUAAGCAUUCCGCCUGUGGAGUAUGCACGCAAGUGUGAAACAUAAAGGAAUUGACGGGGGCCCGCACAAGCGGUGGAGUAUGUGGUUUAAUUCGACGCAACGCGAAGAACCUUACCAGGCCUUGACAUCCCUUGCAAAAUCCUGGAGACAGGAUAGAGGUUAUCAAGGAGACAGGUGGUGCAUGGUUGUCGUCAGCUCGUGUCGUGAGAUGUUGGGUU